AUUGAACGCUGGCGGCAGGCCUAACACAUGCAAGUCGAACGAGUGGCGGACGUGUGAGUAAUGUCUGUGAAACUGCCUGAUGGAGGGGGAUAACUACUGGAAACGGUAGCUAAUACCGCAUACCAUCGGAUGUGCCCAGAUGGGAUUAGCUAGUAGGUGGGGUAAAGGCUCACCUAGGCGACGAUCCCUAGCUGGUCUGAGAGGAUGACCAGCCACAAUGGAACUGAGACACGGCCCAGACUCCUAGGGGAGGCAGCAGUGGGGAAUAUUGCACAAUGGGCGGAAGCCUGAUGCAGCCAGGCCGCGUGUAUGAAGAAGGCCGUCGGGUGGUAAAGUACUUUGAGCGGGGAGGCGUUAACCGCAGAAGAAGCACCGGAUAACUCCGUGCCAGCAGCCGCGGUAAUUA
rnacentral:rRNA from 1 species